GCCCCGGUAGCCCAACGGUAGAGGCACCGCCUUCAAGUAGCGGUCAGCGCGGGUUCGACCCCCGCCCGGGGUA
rnacentral:tRNA from 1 species